AUGCAAAUAAAACCUAGGAUUUUAGAUCUAGGAUUUUACAGAAAUUAAGUUUUAGAUCGUGUGUCAAAAUAAUAUAUUACAUAUAAUAUUAAUCGAUCUAAAAUACAUAAAAAUACAUUCAUAAUAUGAUUUAAAUUUAAAAUAUGUAAUAAUGAUAAUUUUUUAUUCGCUAUUCAUCUUCAUAGGAAACAUCACAGUCGACACCGCUACACGUCAUAAGAGAGAAUCCAUCGAAUGGGCUAAAGAAGGACUUUAAUCCCUUCAUCAUCUUAUGA
rnacentral:lncRNA from 1 species